rnacentral:rRNA from 1 species
GGCCAGACUCCUACGGGAGGCAGCAGUGAGGAAUAUUGGUCAAUGGGCGGAAGCCUGAACCAGCCAAGUCGCGUGAGGGAAGAAGGCCCUGCGGGUCGCAGACCUCUUUGGACGGGGAGCAAGGCCGCCGACGUGUCGGCGGAAGGAGAGUACCCGUAGAACAAGCAUCGGCUAACUCCGUGCCAGCAGCCGCGGUAAUACGGAGGAUGCGAGCGUUAUCCGGAUUUAUUGGGUUUAAAGGGUGCGCAGGCGGCACGGCUAGCCGGCGGUCAAAUCGGGGGGCUCAACCUCGCUCCGCCGUUGAAACUGGCGUUCUUGAGUGGGCGAGAAGUAUGCGGAAUGCGUGGUGUAGCGGUGAAAUGCAUAGAUAUCGCGCAGAACUCCGAUUGCGAAGGCAGCGUACCGGCGCGCAACUGACGCUCAUGCACGAAAGCGUGGGUAUCGAACAGGAUUAGAUACCCGCGUAG